rnacentral:lncRNA from 1 species
UUGUUUUGAUGUAAGUGGAGUGAUGGAACUCAAGUUCCAUCACUUCUAUUAUUUAUUUUGGUGUACGUGAAAAAUAUAAUGUAACUCAAGUUACGUUAGAGUUCCACUUCACCUGCUCUCGACUUCCUCCUCUAAAGUGCCGAACUCGACUUCCACCACACUCAACCUCCUCUAAAAAAUUAAUUAAACAGUAAAAUCUAAACUCUAUUUCCUUUAUAAUGGAUUAGAAUUACCUUAUUUAUAAUAAAUUAGGAUUACCUUUAAAUAAUAAUAAAAAAUUGAAUUAUAUAAUAUGUUAAAUUUUAUAGUGGUAAAUUUACUACUCUAUUUAAUUAAGAGAUAAUAUGAUCCACUUACUUACAUCAAAACAAACAACGGAACUCAAAAAACUAAUUUAUCAGCACCAAGUUACAUCAAAACAAACAGAAGAAGUAAUUGAAUUUAACUUUCAGACUGUAUGAGUUACAUCAAAAUAAACAACAAAAAAAUAAUCACACUUCAGAAAAACUCAAACAUCACUACACUCGACUUAUAUUGGAUCUACAGAUUCGUCAAUCCAAACGCUCCCUUAGUUUAUUGCCUCAUUUUUU